GCGGUUGUCGGAGCCUGUGCCUACUUGUAAGCGCAGCAAUGGCGGAGGAGCGCGGCUAAAAAACUUAUUACUUUUUCUGGGUCACAAAAUAAACUUUUAAGAUAUUUUCAGGCGAGAAUGUAGCUGUGUAAAGUUCAAAUAUCUGCUCGAUUUAUCAAGACAUCACAUAUUUGCAAAAAUGCUCCGACGUUUUCGGAGACGUCCAUUUGUUGUUCAUGCUUUGUGGCAGCUUUUGAACAUCUGUGGCAUCUAUUAAUGUCAAAUCUAGCCUUUAUUUAACAACAUAAGCAAACUCUAUGUUACAAUGAUUGCACAGCCAUUAAGGAUCAAAUCAGUUUCUGAAAAAUGUUCUGUUUUUUCUCCCUCUGCUUGCUUCUUACUGUCUUUGAGGCUCGGGACCAGCACUCCUGUUGUUGGACAGAAAGACAUCAACUCAGUGACUUGAGAUAUGACUGCACUAUGCUGUUGCUGGUGACCACAGUUAAUUCUACAAGACAUGCUGUGACACCAGGAGAGAUGAGUCCUCCGUCACAGAUGGUGUGGUCAGUGAAGAUGGUCGCUUGCAGGUUCAAGCUCAUUGCAUCUCCAACCCACAUCCACUGCCACUGUACUGAAGGGAAGUUAAAGACUUUCUUCUGCACCUACAUUUGGAUCACCUCGAUCCAUGACAGUCAUUCAGGCAGUAAUGCCUGGACUGGAAACGAGCCAUUCUUAAAAUAAUACAACAUUCCAGCUCAUGUGUUGGAAUGGAAAACAAAUGUGUUGUUUAAAUUGGAGACUGCACUUGUGACAGAACAAUACAUAUUUUAUUUUGAUUAUAUAAGUAAUGUAAGUACAAAACAAACUUGUGGUAGGCC
ensembl:lncRNA